AACAGUUUCAGGUUAAGAACGGACCUCCGGAACGAAUUAAGUACCUAACCCGAGGUACCACUGUAGUAGCAAGGGCUUCCCCAGGGCCAGAUUUAGGUUGGAUGAGGCCCUAAGCUACUGGCGGCAAUGGGGCCCUUUGUAUGUCCAGCUGUCCUUUGUCAACAACAAAUGGUUACUGUUUUUUGUGUUGAAUAUAUGCUAUAAUUUAUGCACCUAAUAGGUAUCUAAAGCCAUUUGCGCAUGCAGAAUAUAGGUACCCUAUAUGCAGAAAUGAGCAAACCAGUGAUAUUUUAGGGAGCAGGCUAGCAAGCAGGGACCAUUGCUUACUUACAUCAUAGAUAGCUGUCAACCUUCCCUUUUUUUGCGGGAAAUUCCCUUAUUCUAGCGCUGUUUCCCACUGCUUCCCGCUGCUAUCCCGGAUUGUUAGAUAUCCCGUAGACUGUCUCUGGGACAGGUGAGGCUGCUGAUCCCUUCUUUUCAAAUCUGAAAGUUGACAGCUAUGAUUAUAGGAGCCUACACAACACACAAACACUGUUGCUGUAUGUAGGUUUUAUUUUAUGUUUUUUAUCUUAUAUUUUGGAAAUGUACACCCAGGUUUUUUUUCCUUUAUAUUUUUUGGAGGCCCCCAAGAGAGUGGGGCCCUAGGCUAUAGCUUGUUCAGCUUAUACGUAAAUCCAGCACUGGGCGUCCCUCCUCCAAAGAACUCUGGAAACUGUAGUUUGUUAAGGGUGCUGGGAGUUGUUAGGAGACCCCUGUUUCCCUCCCAGAAUUACAAUUUGAGUGGUUCAACAAUCAGUCUGUCUUCCCAAAGAACUCUGGGAGAGGACCAGGGCCGUCCCUAACAACUCUGCACCCUUCAUGAACUAUACUUCCCAUGAAUCUUUGGGAGAAGCCAUGACUAUUAAAGUGGUAUAACAGAAUUUUAAAUGUACAGUGUGGACGCAGUUGAUGCAAAAACAGCGCACUAAUGGCGGAUCAUUCCACUUGGUUGUUUUUUUUCAGAGAUCCUUCCCCAACAUAAGCAUACUACUGCCAUCUGGAGGGCUGUUCUUCAGGAGCCUUAGAUGAAGGACCAUCAAAAGCUUAUUAUUAUUAUUUUUUAAACUCUAAAAAGAAAUACAAACAAUUGUCCUGGCAAGUGUACAAUUAUGUAUGGCAUGGUAUAUUAAACGUACAUCACAUUGCUUCAAAA